rfam:Atta colombica isolate Treedump-2 unplaced genomic scaffold scaffold248, whole genome shotgun sequence.
GUCAACGUUCAAACCAUGUUUAAAGUACUAGUUUUCCGAUCACUGAAGUCAAGUAACAUUGGGCACGGUUAGUACACACGGUUGGAUGGGUGACCGCUUGGGAAUACCGUGUAAUGUUGACA